UACGUAGGGUGCAAGCGUUGUCCGGAAUCAUUGGGCGUAAAGCGCGUGUAGGCGGCUGAGUAAGUCUGCUCUGAAAGCCCGGGGCUCAACUCCGGGAGGCGGGUGGAUACUGCUCAGCUCGAGUCCGGAAGAGGAGUGUGGAAUUCCUGGUGUAGCGGUGAAAUGCGCAGAUAUCAGGAGGAACACCAAUGGCGAAGGCAGCACUCUAGGACGGUACUGACGCUGAGACGCGAAAGCGUGGGGAGCAAACAGG
rnacentral:rRNA from 1 species